rnacentral:tRNA from 1 species
GCCCCGGUAGCUCAGUUGGACAGAGCACCGGAUUCCUAAUCCGGGGGUCGGAGGUUCGAACCCUCUCCGGGGCACCA